rnacentral:rRNA from 1 species
GAUGAACGCUAGCUGGAGGCUUAAUACAUGCAAGUCGAGCGGGAUUGGUAGCAAUACCAUGAGAGCGGCGCACGGGUGAGUAACGCGUACACGACCUACCUCUGACAGGGGGAUAGCCCUGGGAAACUGGGAUUAAUACCGCAUAUUAUUCUGAUUAAUAAAGGAUUGGAAUGAAAGUUCAGGCGGUCAGAGAUGGGUGUGCGUCUGAUUAGCUAGUUGGUAGGGUAACGGCCUACCAAGGCGAUGAUCAGUAGGGGGCGUGAGAGCGUGGUCCCCCACACGGGUACUGAGACACGGACCCGACUCCUACGGGAGGCAGCAGUAAGGAAUAUUGGACAAUGGCCGAAAGGCUGAUCCAGCCAUCCAGCGUGCAGGAAGAAGGCCCUAUGGGUUGUAAACUGCUUUUAUCAGGGAAUAAACCUCUGGAUUCACUCCGGAGCUGAAGGUACCUGAAGAAUAAGCACCGGCUAACUCCGUG